rnacentral:lncRNA from 1 species
UUCCUGCCAGUAAGGAUGAUGAGGAACAAGCAGGCACUGCUGAAGAACCAAGAGAAAAGAAGCAACGUGUGGAAGACCCUCCAGUUUCUGAACAGACAGAACAAAAGGAGGCUGCUGAUGAAACAAAGGAGUCCACUGAUGAACCAAAGGAGUCCACUGAUGAACCAAAGGAGUCCACUGAUGAACCAAAAGAGCCCACUGAUGAACCAAAAGAGCCCACUGAUAAACCAAAAGAUCCCACUGGUAAACCAAAAGAGUCCAGUGAAAGAAACAUUGAUGAUUUAAUUGAUGAGGACUUGAAAGAACUAGG